rnacentral:lncRNA from 1 species
AUCGCUUAUAUGGUCAUCUGAGGUCAAAUCAAUAGUUAAUUAGAUGGCGUCUGGGCUUACAUACACACGAAACGAACCUACAUAUUAUCUACACCAUGCUCUGUAUACUGUUUAUUUUAGACAUUUGGUAGUUUGGAUAAAUGUUUUACAUUGUUAUAAAUCAAAUAUGAGAAUUUGAGUCAAAUCGGUGACCAUGAACUUGACAGCUAGUGCCCC